GCCGACGCAAACCUCAUGUUCUUCGAGCUCCAACCUUCAAGCCCAUAAAAUUUUAACAAAUUAGAGUUUAUAAAUUUUCUAUUUCUAAUUAACAAUCAUCACACUAUAUUACAAACAAUUCAAUUCAAACAUAAAACAAUUCAAACAAAAAUAUUAAAAAAACCCAACAUGACUUUUGGAGUGACUCCACCAUGCAACUUAAUAAAAUUAAAG
rnacentral:lncRNA from 1 species